rnacentral:rRNA from 1 species
AUUGAACGCUGGCGGCAGGCCUAACACAUGCAAGUCGAACGAGUGGCGGACGGGUGAGUAAUGUCUGGGAAACUGCCUGCUGGAGGGGGAUAACUACUGGAAACGGUAGCUAAUACCGCAUACCAUCGGAUUUGCCCAGAUGGGAUUAGCUGGGAGGUGGGGGAACGGCUCACCUAGGCGACGCUCCCUAGCUGGUCUGAGAGGAUGACCAGCCACACUGGAACUGAGACACGGUCCAGACUCCUAAGGGAGGCAGCAGGGGGUAAUAUUGCACAAUGGGCGCAAGCAUGAUGCAGCCAUGCCGCGUGUAUGAAGAAGGCCUUCGGGUUGUAAAGUACGUUCAGCGGGGAGGCGUUACCCGCAGAAGAAGCACCGGCUAACUCCGUGCCAGCAGCCGCGGUAAUAC